rnacentral:rRNA from 1 species
CCUACGGGAGGCAGCAGUGGGGAAUUUUGGACAAUGGGCGAAAGCCUGAUCCAGCCAUUCCGCGUGCAGGAUGAAGGCCCUCGGGUUGUAAACUGCUUUUGUACAGAACGAAAAGGUUUCUAUUAAUACUAGGAGCUCAUGACGGUACUGUAAGAAUAAGCACCGGCUAACUACGUGCCAGCAGCCGCGGUAAUACGUAGGGUGCAAGCGUUAAUCGGAAUUACUGGGCGUAAAGCGUGCGCAGGCGGUUAUAUAAGUCAGAUGUGAAAUCCCCGGGCUCAACCUGGGAACUGCAUUUGAGACUGUAUAGCUAGAGUACGGUAGAGGGGGAUGGAAUUCCGCGUGUAGCAGUGAAAUGCGUAGAUAUGCGGAGGAACACCGAUGGCGAAGGCAAUCCCCUGGACCUGUACUGACGCUCAUGCACGAAAGCGUGGGGAGCAAACAGGAUUAGAUACCCUGGUAGUCCACGCCCUAAACGAUGUCAACUGGUUGUUGGGUCUUAACUGACUCAGUAACGAAGANAUAGNGUGAGUAGACGCCGNGGGUAAGGUACGGCCGCGAGUAGUUAACGUUACGAAGGAAGUUAGACGGCGNGAGACGNGCCGACGGACGACGACGAGGGGAGGAGG